rnacentral:tRNA from 1 species
GCGGGUCAGACCCGGAGCAACCCCUCGAUACCCUUAGCUUCCCAAGCUGAGAGCGCGAGUUCGAUUCUCGUCACCCGCUCCA